rnacentral:lncRNA from 1 species
UGCAAUUGACAAGAAAUUUAAAAUGUUUUUGUUUUAGAUGCCAGGUGGAGUUGUUUGUAGUGUGUUUAUAUGCAAAAAUAAUUCAAAAAAAGCAAAGGAGAAUGCAGAGAAACUGUCUUUUUUUUCUUUUCCAAAGGAUCUCAAGGUUCAAAAAGAAUGGAUACGAAAAUGUUAUCGCAAAGAUAUGUCGCAUGUUGCAAAUAAAAGAAUUUGUAGCAAACACUUUAAACCAGACGACUUUGAAGAUGCGCUGCAGGCUACAAUAAUGAAUACACAUCCAAAACGCCUAAAAAAAUGUGCUGUUCCUUCAUUAUACUUGUCGAAUGCUCUAGAUCUAGAAAAGCACAACAAUGAAAGUGAAAGGGUGAAGAAAAGGAUACGCAAAGAAAAGAAAGCUAUUGUAGAAAAAUUAAUUACUAGGAAUGUCACUAAACUACAAGAGAAAACACUUAGCAAUGAAACAGAAUAUGAGACAUUAAAAAAGAAAAUUGAAGAUUUGGAGAAUGAAAACCUGUGUUUAAAGGAGAGAAUAUAUCACUUCGAAAAUGAACAAAAAUAGCUGCAACAGCAUAUUUGCCAAUUAGAACAACAAAAAAAACAUAACUUUGUAGACAGAUCCAAAUCUACAAUUGCGGCUUAUGCCAGAAACAAGCUCUUCCAAGUAGUUUUUUUUUGUAAAAUUGGGUUCUACAACAGUCGCAUAACGUUCUACUCGGUAUAAAUGGAUAUAAUGGAAAUGAGCCUCAUAUACUACAGAUAAAGUUGUUCCUUCAUUCUAUUGGCCAAUGAGUGACAGCGUCCCACAUUUUCUUCACAUAUAAUCAACUUAAUCACGCAAUUUGAAGAAAAUUUAUUUUACUACCAUGGCUGGAAAUAAAUAUGGCUUUAUUUGAUUCGGAUGAAGACGAUAUCUUUGAUAACAUAGUGGCAGUACCACAGCGGAGACCUAAAGUUUCUAAAAAUCGUCCCAAUUACUUGACAUAAUUGAUAAAAAAGAUGUAAACCCACCAAUUGAAUUCAAUUUGGAAAAUGUGGCAAAUGUAUUACCGCCUCGAAAUGAUACAUUUAAUUAUGCUAAUAAUAGAAUUGCACAUUUACUAGGUAAUUAAUUGGAAAAUAAAGAACAAACGUGAUCUAU